rnacentral:rRNA from 1 species
AUUGAACGCUGGCGGCGUGCCUAAUACAUGCAAGUAGGACGCAGUUGCGAACGGGUGAGUAACGCGUAGGUAACUACCUAUUAGAGGGGGCUAACUAUUGGAAACGAUAGCUAAUACCGCAUACUAGUAGAUGGACCUUCGUUGUAUUAGCUAGUAGGUAGGGUAAAGGCCUACCUAGGCAACGAUAACUAGCCGACCUGGUAGGGUGAUCGGCCAAACUGGGAAGGAGACACGGCCCAGACUCCUACGGGAGGCAGCAGUAGGGAAUCUGCGGCAAUGGGGGGAACCCUGACCGAGCAACGCCGCGUGAGUGAAGAAGGUUUUCGGAUCGUAAAGCUCUGUUGUUAAGGAAGCGGUACUUAACCAGAAAGGGACGGCUAACUACGUGCCAGCAGCCGCGGUAAUUC